rnacentral:lncRNA from 1 species
CGGGAGGCCUCGCCGAGCCCCGGCCGCGGCUCCGCCCGCGGCGGCGCCUCCGCCGGAAGGGAAGCGGAGCCGCCCCGGCCGAGGGGAGGGGAGAGCGGCGCGGGGGAGGGGACACCGCCCGGCCCGGCCUGGCCUCCCCGCGGCGAUGGGCUCGGUGCGGCAGCCCCGGCUCACUGCGAAGCGGGAAGGGGCCGCGGGCGGUGAGAGAGAAGCGGCGGUCUCCGAACGACGUGGGGUGACAGCAGAGGAAAUAAAAAAACUCGCGACAAAAAAAAAGCAAGCAUCUGCGGGAGCCGACCCGCCCGGCCGGAGGGGGAUGUCUGCCUGCCGGGGCUCGGCGGUCCCUCAGUUUGUUUUCUUAGUGGCUCUUUGAUGUCUUUUUCAGCGUGUCAGCUGCCGGGUGAACUCUGUGUUCCCACACACAUAAAGCCCACCGCACUCCCCAGCCAACAUCAACACCCCCCAAAGCAGAUUUGGCAUCAUCGUGAGUGCUGGAAUAAAUUUCUCGACUGUUUGAUAGGGUGCUGGCCUGCUCACAGACAGCUCAGCAAAACAAGACUCUGGGGACAUCCGUGAAUUCUCAUAAACACCGUUUAUGUACAGCAAAAUGUUGCUUUAUCAGACACAAAUUCCAAACGCGGUAAGAUUAGUUCAUCUGAUCCUAGUGCAGCUUGAAAUGCUGACUACCACAGUAAGUCAUAUGACAUUGACAUCCCUAAGAAAUUCAAAGUUACGUGGAAGAAAAUUAAACAGCAUAUCGAUGGAUGAGAUAGGCAUGAUGGUUUCUCCACGAUGUCAUUGCAUGGUGAUGAAGGAACAGCACUGUGAAAUAUGAGAUGCAAGUGUCAUCAAAAUAUUACCCUGGUUUUGCAAGGAGUUGCGCAAGGAGCUAUUCCUUUUCUGCAGAAGGAAGGCUUGGUUAUUCUUAAGUGUAAAAACAAGAACCAAUUGCCAGCAACAGAAAAAUAGAUGCCACGUUUCCUGGUUUUUUAAUUUCCUUUCUAUUCCAUGAAGUUUAGAUAUUCCUAAUAAUGAAAAAUAAAAAAAAAGCAAACUAUCA